rnacentral:ncRNA from 1 species
UACCUGGUUGAUCCUGCCAGUAGUCACAUGCUUGUCUCAAAGAUUAAGCCAUGCAUGUCUAACUACAUGCCGAAACAAGGCGAAACCGCGAAUGGCUCAUUGAAUCAGUCAUGGUUCCUUAGGUCGUUUUUUCCUACUUGUAUUCUAGAGCUGAUACACGCAGUGAGGCCGAAGCCCCACGGGGCGACGGGUGCUUUAUUAGACCAAUAUCAAUCGGGCAUCGGUCCAGUUUGUGUGAUGACUCUGGAUAACUUUGUGCUGAUCGCCCGGCCACGAGCCGGCGACGUUUCUUUCAAGUGUCUGCCUUAUUAACUGUCGAUGGCAGUUAAUGCGCCUACUAUGGUUGUUAGGAGUAACGGAGAAUCAGGUUUCGAUUCCGGUGAGGAAGCCCAAGAAACGGCUGCCACAUCCGAGGACGGCAGCAGGCGCACAAAUUACCCAUCCCGGCACGAGAGGAAGUGACAAAAAAAUAACAAAACGGGACUCUUUUGAGCCCGUAAUUGAAAUGAGUAAACUCUGGAUC